GUGGGGAAUAUUGGACAAUGGGGGGAACCCUGAUCCAGCCAUGCCGCGUGUGUGAAGAAGGCCUUUUGGUUGUAAAGCACUUUAAGCGAGGAGGAGGCUACCGAGAUUAAUACUCUUGGAUAGUGGACGUUACUCGCAGAAUAAGCACCGGCUAACUCUGUGCCAGCAGCCGCGGUAAUACAGAGGGUGCAAGCGUUAAUCGGAUUUACUGGGCGUAAAGCGCGCGUAGGUGGCCAAUUAAGUCAAAUGUGAAAUCCCGGAGCUUAACUUGGGAAUUGCAUUCGAUUCUGGUUGGCUAGAGUAUGGGAGAGGAUGGUAGAAUUCCAGGUGUAGCGGUGAAAUGCGUAGAGAUCUGGAGGAAUACCGAUGGCGAAGGCAGCCAUCUGGCCUAAUACUGACACUGAGGUGCGAAAGCAUGGGGAGCAAACAGGAUUAGAAACCCCGGUAGUCC
rnacentral:rRNA from 1 species